CCUGACUUUCACAUCAUCUUUGUACAAAUAUGUCUGGAUCUGGACUAACGUGUGCCGUAAUCGGAUGUCACAAUAACAGCAGAACGCUAAAAAUGUGGAAAAAGAGCGUAUGUGCGCUUCAUAGUCCACAGUUUAAAGAGGAUUGUCCUUGUUGUGUGCCCUACGGUGUAAACCGCUUCCCCGGCCGUGCUGAGGAUGAAGACAUUCGCAAGAUAUGGAUUAAAAACUACACCGAAAGGACUUUGCCCCCAAACAAGUAUUCAAUGGUGUGUGGAGUAUACUUCCCUGACGGCAGACCAACGCAGGAACACCCAUAUCCCAUAUUUAAUAUGGGAUAUGAAUAUAGUAAAGCACUAUCAUGUGGAAGACCACCCCCGAAGAGGAGAUGUCUCCAGCCCCCAACAGAGAGACUUGGAUUAAUGUUGAGAGGAUUAUUGUUCAAUACGGUGCAGAAACACUUGGUUCAGUUAUAUGUAUAUAUAUCAAUCAUCUUUCAAGAAAUCCUUCAUCCCCUCAGCUGUGACCAUACUGAACAAGAUAUGAACUGUCCAGCUGCAGCAUGAAUGUAUUGUGUGGUCGUCUUU